rnacentral:misc_RNA from 1 species
ACUUAUGACUGUUUAGCUUAGCUUGAAAGGAAUGCUGAAAGGACUGCGGGAUUGCGGUGGAGUACAGUGAGGUUAACGGCGUCACCGUUAAUUCAGCUGAAAUACCGAUAGCUGCACUUCUAUUUCAACGGGAUCUGUUGGAAGCAAUUCUUUGGGGUGCAUUCUGGUUACAUAUGAUGCUUUUGAGUGUAUUUUGAUGGUACUGCAUGUCUGCGACAUUGACUGGAACUUGAAUCUGAUGAAUGAUGCAUUAUGGAAGUUCUAUAGAAGUCUAUAUUGAG